UACGUAGGCAGCAAGCGUUGUUCGGAAUUACUGGGCGUAAAGAGUGUGUAGGCGGUGCUCUAAGUCUGUUGUGAAAUCUCCCGGCUUAACUGGGAGGGUGCGGCGGAAACUGGAGUGCUCGAGGGUGGGAGAGGUAAGCGGAAUUCCUGGUGUAGCGGUGAAAUGCGUAGAUAUCAGGAGGAACAGCCUGUGGUGUAGACAGCUUACUGGACCACUUCUGACGCUGAGACACGAAAGCGUGGGUAGCAAACAGG
rnacentral:rRNA from 1 species